rnacentral:rRNA from 1 species
UACGAAGGGGGCUAGCGUUGCUCGGAAUUACUGGGCGUAAAGCGCACGUAGGCGGUCUUUUAAGUCGGGGGUGAAAUCCUGGAGCUCAACUCCAGAACUGCCUUCGAUACUGGAAGACUUGAGUCCGGGAGAGGUGAGUGGAACUGCGAGUGUAGAGGUGAAAUUCGUAGAUAUUCGCAAGAACACCAGUGGCGAAGGCGGCUCACUGGCCCGGUACCGACGCUGAGGUGCGAAAGCGUGGGGAGCAAACAGG